AUGGAUCUCAGACCCCCAGCCUCAUCCCUGCAUGGAUCUCAUUCUCCCAGCCCCAGCCCUGCCUGGACCUCAGCCUCCAAGCCUCGACCCUGCCUGGAUCUCAGACCCCCAGCCUCAGCCCUGGCUGGAUUUCAGACCCCCAGCCUCAGCCCUGGGAAGAUCUCAGAGUCCCAGCCUCAACCCUGCCUGAAUCUGAGACUCCCAGCCUCAGACCCUCCUGGAUCUCACCCUCCCAGCCUCGGCCCUGCCUGGACCUCAGACCUCCAGCCUUGGCCCUGCCUGGAUCUUCAGACCCCCAGCCUCAGCCCUGCCUGGAUCUUCAGACCCCCAGCCUCAGCCCUGCCUGGAUGUCAGACCCCCAGCCUUGGCCAUGCCUGGAUCUCAGACCCCCAGCCUCGGUCCUUCCUGGAUCUCAGGCCCCCACCUCAGCCCUGCCUGGAUCUCAGAUCCCCAGCCUCAGCCCUGCCUAGAUCUCAGACCCCCAGCCUCAUCCCUGCAUGGAUCUCAGACCCCCAGCCUCAGCCCUGCCUGAAUCUCAGACCCCCAGCCUCGGCCCUGCCUGGAUCUCAGACCCCCAGCCUUGGCCAUGCCUGGAUCUCAGACCCCCAGCCUCGGUCCUUCCUGGAUCUCAGGCCCCCACCUCAGCCCUGCCUGGAUCUCAGACCCCCAGCCUCGGCCCUGCCUGGAUCUCAGACCCCCAGCCUCAGCCCUGCUGGAUCUCAGACCCCCAGCCUUGGCCCUGCCUGGACCUCAGACCCCCAGCCUCAGCCCUGCCUGGAUCUCAGAUCCCCAGCCUCAGCCCUGCCUAGACCUCAGACCCCCAGCCUCGACCCUGCCUGGAUCUUCAGACCCCCAGCCUCAGCCCUGCCUGGAUCGCACACUGCUGGCCUCGGCCCUGCUGGAUCUCAGACCCCCAGCCUCGGCCCUGCCUGGAUCUCAGACCCCCAGCCUCGGUCCUUCCUGGAUCUCAGGCCCCCACCUCAGCCCUGCCUGGAUCUCAGAUCCCCAGCCUCAGCCCUGCCUGGAUCUCAGACCCCCAGCCUCAGCCCUGCAGGGAUUUCAGACCCCAGCCUCAGCCCUGCCUGGACCUCAGACCCCCAGCCUCAGCCCUGCAGGGAUCUCAGACUGCUAGACUACAGUACCACGAAAAGUCCAUGGUGGGGUGCCUGGGUGGCUCACUCAGUUAAGCCUCUGACUUAGGGUUCGAGCCCAGCGUGGGGCUCUGUGCGGACAGCUCGGAGCCUGGAGCCUGCUUCGGAUUCUGUGUCUCCCUCUCUCUCUGCCCCUCCCCUGCUCACACUGUCUCUCUCUCUCUUCCUUAAAUAAAUGAACAUUAAAAAAUUUUUAACA
rnacentral:lncRNA from 1 species